rnacentral:tRNA from 1 species
UCCUUGUUGGCUCAGACGAUAAAGAGUCUGUCUGCAAUGCAGGAAAACCAGGUUCAAUCCCUGGAUUGGGAA